rnacentral:misc_RNA from 1 species
GUAAUCAUAAAUUGCUGAUAAGGUCGACCAACCGCUGGAUGUGAGGCUUUAAGGGAUACUUGUUUUAUCCAAUUAAUUAAGCUUGUUUAAAGAUAAAAUGUUGUUGUAAACUUGUAAUUAAUGACAAAGAACAGUAAUUUGAUUGGACUGCAUACUGGAUUUGUAAACUAUGUCAGAUGAAACAGCAUGUUAGUUGGAUUUAAAUGAUGAUAUGCCUAUUUGGUUCAGCUUCUUGAAUGAGGAAGUUUGUCAUGGUGAAAUACAAAU